GACGAACGCUGGCGGCGUGCUUAACACAUGCAAGUCGAGCGGUAAGGCCCUUUCGGGGGUACACGAGCGGCGAACGGGUGAGUAACACGUGGGUGACUUGCCCUCAGCUCUGGGAUAAGCCCGGGAAACUGGGUCUAAUACCGGAUAUGACUUCAUGACGCAUGUUGUGGAGUGGAAAGCCUUGUGCGGCUGAGGAUGGGCCCGCGGCCUAUCAGCUUGUUGGUGGGGUGAUGGCCUACCAAGGCGACGACGGGUAGCCGGCCUGAGAGGGCGACCGGUCACACUGGGACUGAGACACGGCCCAGACUCCUACGGGAGGCAGCAGUGGGGAAUAUUGCACAAUGGGCGAAAGCCUGAUGCAGCGACGCCGCGUGA
rnacentral:rRNA from 1 species